AGUGAACGCUGGCGGUAGGCCUAACACAUGCAAGUCGAACGGCAGCACAGUAAGAGCUUGCUCUUACGGGUGGCGAGUGGCGGACGGGUGAGGAAUACAUCGGAAUCUACUUUUUCGUGGGGGAUAACGUAGGGAAACUUACGCUAAUACCGCAUACGACCUACGGGUGAAAGCAAGGGAUCUUCGGACCUUGCGCGAUUGAAUGAGCCGAUGUCGGAUUAGCUAGUUGGCGGGGUAAAGGCCCACCAAGGCGACGAUCCGUAGCUGGUCCGAGAGGAUGAUCAGCCACACUGGAACUGAGACACGGUCCAGACUCCUAGGGGAGGCAGAAGUGGGGAAUAUUGGACAAGGGGCGCAAGCCUGAGCCAGCCAUACCGCGUGGGUGAAGAAGGCCUUCGGGUUGUAAAGCCCUUUUGUCGGGAAAGAAAAGCAGCAGGUUAAUACCCCGCUGUUCUGACGGUACUCAAAGAAUAAGCACCGGCUAACUUCGU
rnacentral:rRNA from 1 species